CGCAUCUGUGCAUGCAGCAUAUCAAUAAGCGGAGGAAAAGAAACUAACAAGGAUUCCCCUAGUAACGGCGAGUGAAGCGGGAAGAGCUCAAAUUUGAAAUCUUAAAGGGUUUCCCUUUACGAAUUGUAGCUUAAAGAAGUGUUUUCUGUUGAGGUUUUGGUAAAAGUCCUUUGGAAUAGGACAUCAUAGAGGGUGAGAAUCCCGUAUUUGACCUUUACUUUCAACUUUGUGAUACACUUUCAAAGAGUCGGAUUGUUUGGGAAUGCAGUCCAAAAUGGGUGGUAAAUUUCAUCUAAAGCUAAAUAUUGGCGAGAGACCGAUAGCGAACAAGUACCGUGAGGGAAAGAUGAAAAGAACUUUGAAAAGAGAGUUAAACAGUACGUGAAAUUGUCAAAAGGGAAGCGUUUGACACCAGUGUUGUUUUUCUGAAAAUCAAUUAAAGAACUGUUUAUGCUAAGUUGUUUAGACUUUAUCAGCUAACUGUUUAGUUUUGAGCUUUUCUUUAAUGCACUUUUCAGUUAACAAGUCAACAUCAAUUUCUUUUGCUGUAAAAAAGCUUGAGGAAGGUGGCUUGAGAUUCGUCUUAAGUGUUUAUAGCCUCUUGCCUAUGCAGUCGGAGAGAUUGAGGUCUGCAGCGUAGAUCCUUCGGGGCUAAAUGCAUUUGUGCUAAGUUAUAGCAUUUUAUAGACAACUUGUUGACUAUGAUUUGUCUUGUAGCUUACUCGCUUAUGUUAUUUUACCUACGCUUAGGAUGUUGAACGCGCACAGAGUCUC
rnacentral:rRNA from 1 species